rnacentral:rRNA from 1 species
UUGAACGCUGGCGGCAUGCCUUACACAUGCCAGUCGAACGGUAACAGGUCUUCGGAUGCUGACGAGUGGCGAACGGGUGAGUAAUACAUCGGAACGUGCCCGAUCGUGGGGGAUAACGAAGCGAAAGCUUUGCUAAUACCGCAUACGAUCUACGGAUGAAAGCAGGGGACCGCAAGGCCUUGCGCGAACGGAGCGGCCGAUGGCAGAUUAGGUAGUUGGUGGGAUAAAAGCUUACCAAGCCGACGAUCUGUAGCUGGUCUGAGAGGACGACCAGCCACACUGGGACUGAGACACGGCCCAGACUCCUACGGGAGGCAGCAGUGGGGAAUUUUGGACAAUGGGCGAAAGCCUGAUCCAGUCAUGCCGCGUGCAGGAUGGAGGCCUUCGGGUUGUAAACUGCUUUUGUACGGAACGAAAAGACUCUGGUUAAUACCUGGGGUCCAUGACGGUACCGUAAGAAUAAGCACCGGCUAACUACGUG